rnacentral:lncRNA from 1 species
AUUAUAUAAGGGAAAUAGCUUUUGAAGAAAACUUGUUGGUUGGCUUGUAAGUACCAAAUGUUUGUAAGUAGAUUUGGCUUUCAAAUGACUCAAUUUAUGGUAUAUAAUUUUGUUGUUCUUUCGGUUACAUCAAAAGAAAUGACAAAAAAAAAGUACAAACAUGCAUUAAGGAAAAAAUCUUUGGUUUUUGCUGGUUUGAGAAGAAUAACUUGGACUGAUGUCCUCAUCAACCAUGAACCUCCCAAAACUAUAAUGGGUCGGAGUGAAAUUUGAUGGCGAGAUCUGUUGCGGCCAAUCCCCUCGU